UACAGAGGGGGCAAGCGUUAUUCGGAAUUAUUGGGCGUAAAGGGCGCGUAGGCGGCUUUUCAAGUGACGGGUGAAAGCCCUCGGCUUAACCGAGGAACUGCCUGUCAGACUGGAAGGCUUGAGACCGGGAGAGGUGAGUGGAAUUCCCAGUGUAGCGGUGAAAUGCGUAGAUAUUGGGAGGAACACCAGUGGCGAAGGCGGCUCACUGGACCGGAACUGACGCUGAGGUGCGAAAGCGUGGGGAGCAAACAGG
rnacentral:rRNA from 1 species